GACGAACGCUGGCGGCGUGCCUAAUACAUGCAAGUAGAACGCAGUUGCGAACGGGUGAGUAACGCGUAGGUAACUGCCUGGUAGCGGGGGAUAACUAUGGGAAACGAUAGCUAAUACCGCAUACUAACAGAUGGACCUGCGUUGUAUUAGCUAGUUGGUGAGGUAAAGGCUCAACAAGGCAACGAUAAAUAGCCGACCUGAAAGGGUGAUCUGCCACACUGGGACUUGGACACGGCCCAGACUCCUACGGGAGGCAGCAGGAGGGAAUCUUCGGCAAUGGGGCGAACCCUUACCGAGCAACGCCGCGUGGGUGGAGAAGGUUUUCCGAUCGUAAAGCUCUGUUGUUAAGGAAGCGGUACUUACCCAGAAAGGGACGGCUAACUACGUGCCAGCAGCCGCGGUAAUAC
rnacentral:rRNA from 1 species